rnacentral:tRNA from 1 species
AACACCUGUAAAUCUUUCUUACAUCUACCUGAAUGCAACUCAGGCACUUGUGAUUUAAGCUAAUGCCUC